rnacentral:lncRNA from 1 species
AGCUCUAUGAUUGAAUGCCAUUUUAGGCAAUAUACACUAUUCCGAUUGUUAUCGACGGAAAAUAUAGUUGAAUGAGAGCUCUUUCAACAACACUAACUCUAUUAUUUUGUUAAAAUGUUGUUUUGAUUAUUUUUUGUAUUUUGCAAUGAUGAAAUACGAAUAAUUCACAUGUCAGACUUCAAAGAUUUUGUUAUCAAAAUCAGUGAGCAUGAAACUUGUAAUAUUUUGUAUAUA